UAGUCACACCCAAAUCCUACCUGUCUGGCAGCUAUCAAACAAAUACAUUUCACAACAAUAGUCCCGUGUGCAGCAUCAGCUCAUCCACAUUCUUAAUGUCAUACUCUACCUUAUAAAUACAGACACAUCAGACAGGAAUUGUUGCAGACAUUACUACAUCAGGAAUAGACUUUUUACUGCACUUGUCAACGAGACAGAAUGAGUGAUUGAGGGACGUGGAGAGGGACCUCCAGGUGAACGUGGGGACGGACCUCCAGGUGAACGUGGUGGACCUCGUGGACCUCCGGGUGAACGUGGUGGACCUCAAGGACGUGGGGACGGACCUCCAGGUGAACGUGGUGGACCUCGUGGACCUCCAGGUGAACGUGGUGGACCUCGUGGACCUCCGGGUGAACGUGGUGGACCAGAUGAUGGUGGCAGACGCGGAGGCAAACCCGAGUAGAAAUGGAAAUGCAGUGAUAACAACUAAAUGAUGAACACUGUGCGAUAUUGAUUCUAAUUAAUUAAAUGCAUCUCCAAUAAACUAAUCCAGAAACUGAUAA